rnacentral:rRNA from 1 species
UUUAUCGGAGAGUUUGAUCCUGGCUCAGGACGAACGCUGGCGGCGUGCCUAAUACAUGCAAGUCGAGCGGACAGAUGGGAGCUUGCUCCCUGAUGUUAGCGGCGGACGGGUGAGUAACACGUGGGUAACCUGCCUGUAAGACUGGGAUAACUCCGGGAAACCGGGGCUAAUACCGGAUGGUUGUUUGAACCGCAUGGUUCAAACAUAAAAGGUGGCUUCGGCUACCACUUACAGAUGGACCCGCGGCGCAUUAGCUAGUUGGUGAGGUAACGGCUCACCAAGGCGACGAUGCGUAGCCG